UGUAUGGGAGGCACUCUCUGGCCGUCUGCCCAGGACAAGCCACAAGCCUGAGCUCCCGGGUUUCUGCUCUGAUUCACAGCUUCCUCUCUUCCCAGAGGAAUCCCCUUUAUAGCUCUCGAGGCCUGACCCCAGCGUCCCCGCGAAUGUCGUCUGACUGCUGCAUGGAGUGCAGCCGCAGCUCCUGUGCCGGGUGCCAGCUGGACGUGCUUGGCGGCUGGGGCCCUGGGAGCCACCUCUCGGGAUGUCAGAGGGGAGCUGCAGCCGCCCUUCCGUCAGCAGGAAGCCCAGCCACAAACACUUGGACAGGAAGCGCAGGCGCUGGCCAGCUGAGCGAGCUCUGGUUUCUCCCGUGUCUGAGGGCCUGGCCCAGUGUAGAGGAAGACCAGCCAGGUGCUGCGGCCUGCACUGACAGGGCUGGGAUGUGGGCUCUGGGCGUGAGCGGAAAAGCACCGCUGAGGCUGGACCAGAGGAGGAGCUUCCUGGAGGAGGGUGAGGGAGCAGGGAACACGGCGUCUAGCAGACCUCGGCCAGCUGGCUGGGGACACGCAAAGACCCCUUUGUGAUGGUUCCAGACAAAAUGUGUUCGCUUGGGCCCAGACCUCCGGCAUAAGCCCAGGCCGGCUCCAACCUCCAGGCGGCCUCCGCCUCUGUGAAAACACACUGUAGUCCCCUGGGGUGGGAUGUCCACACGUUCCCAGCUUGAAGAAUGACUCCUCUCAGGGGAAGCCUCUUUCGUAACCUACCGGGUUGUAUUGUGAGUGAAUUAAUACAAAAUAGAGCGUGCUGAGCUGGGGACAAAGGCAAUUUUGCAUUCCGGUCGACGUUGUUGCUUCUAAGUGCUACGUGUGAUUAUCCUCAGGGCAGUCUGUGUGUGCAGACCAUGUGUGUGCCCCAAGGACCCCCAGGAUUUACAGAGCGCUUCAAAUUUUCACAAGUCGCUCGGGUAUUUUUCCCCCCACUUUUGCUUCUCACGACCUGAUACGUCAGUAAGAGAUGCCCGGUAUCUGGGGACCAGGAGGUAGGCAGAUUGGCUCAAGGUCACACGGCUCAGUCAUGGCAGAUCCAGGGCCACCGCCAUGACUUGUCUUGCUCUAAAAAGAUAACUUAGAUGAUUAUUACUUUCCAAGGGCCCGAACCUCUCCUACCUUACCCUGGACUGCGUGCUUUCAAGCUCCCGCCCUCGGAGUCUGUAGCUAAUAGCCCGUUGUUUGAAGCACAUUUUGAAAACCUUCUGGGUGAAUCCUGCCUGUGGCUUUAUUCCCUCCCCCUGCCAUGCCCACAGGUUUUUAUUAGUGGCAUUUCAAUAAUCUAGAUUUUAUCAUAGCCUAUGACCUCUAUGGUUCUGACUCUAGACCAAGGGUUAGCAACUUUUUCUGUAAAGGGAUAGACGGUAAAUAUUUUAAGUUACGGGCCACUUGGUCUCUGUAGCAAUUGCCCAACUCUGCCAUUGUGGUGCAAAAGUAGCCAUAGACAGUGUGUAAACAAAUGGCGUGGCUGUGUUCCAAUAAAGCUUUAUUCACAAAAACCGGCAGUGAGCUAGGUUUUGCACCCAGGCUGUAGUUCAAGGAUCUCUGCUUUUGAACUCCCUGAAGACAGAGACUCUUGUUCUUACACAACUACAAGCACUCUCCCUACUCCAGGCACCAGUGUUGGGUUGACUGUGUUUAUACCUUGUGCUUAACGGAGUUCAUUGUUAGUUAAUUCAAUGAGUGGAAUGUCCGAAGGAGUUUGCAAAUGAAGCCAUUAUAGAACUGGUUAGGUUUUGAUUCUGAUCCUCAGCUGGAAGCUAUACAAUAUGGUUGAGUAUAAUCUCAUUGAGGAGAAUUGGUAGGCCUGAUUUGAACACCAAUUCUGCUACUUCUUAGCCCUGAAAGCUUGGGCACGUAACUUGUGCUGAAGAAAUGGUGGCCAUUGCUACCUGGAGGGAUAUGGUGUUCCUGCUGAACGCUCUCUGUGCUCGGGGUCAGGUUCCAGAUGGGGCCUCAGUAUUGUCUACUGUCUGACACACAGAGAGGAUAUAGUGAGAAUAAAUGGAAAGAUAUCCUUUAGCCAGGAAAAGGUAGGGUUAUGUAAACCCAGGCAGUUUUGCAGAGGUGUCCCUUAUGUGGCAUCCCAAAGUCACUGUCUACAACAGAACUCGUCUCCACCAUCCACCUCCCAAGCUGCGCUUUCCUCUCCGUCUCCACAGAUGCCAAGGUGGACACCUGAAGGUCAUCUGCAUCUGGCUGGCUCCCUCCUACCCCAAGACCAGUGUGCACCAAAGCCGUCACCUUCCCCUCUUCUGCAUGCCCUUGCCUGUUCAGGGUCUAUCGCCUGUGUUAUAGCUGCUUCCGGUGGCUCCCUACCUCAUCUGCGUAACCACUUUGCUGUUAGAUUUACGUUUCAAAAUACAAAUCUGGCUUCUGAAAUCUUCAAUGGUCCCCCACUGCUGGUAAGGCCAAAGUCCACUGAUCUCCUUUGGUCUUUCCCGCCUCAUCUCCCAGCAUUCUUUGCCACGUGUCUAGCCUCUUGGGUGGACCUCACUAUGGGCAGUCUCAUCUGUUGCAUUUUUUUUUUUUAUGUUGUUACCUGCUCCAUUCUGCUCACACCCCAGCACUCCGAAUUCUGUCCAGGAUAUCACAAAUCAAUCACUAAAUAGUAUCCUGUGGCCUCAGAGUUUUUAAACACAUUUUUUAAAGGCUUGUCACUCAGUUCUAGUUUGGAACUUAGCUCUGGGAAAAUCUGUACCAUUGGCAUAUUUAAUUUUUUUUUUCAGCUGAAAUCAGGGAACUUACAUAUCAGACAAUUUCUGUCUAGAAAUAUCCAGACAUUGUGUUUAUGGGUCAACUCGGUAACAGCAAACAUGAGGCUUCCAGUCCUGGAGAAUACUGUUGUGAGCAGUAAGGAUGCCAUUUGAUUAAAUUCUCCUUCCAGAAUUCCUCUAGUGUUACAGAACAGAGGGCUCCUUCCAGCAGCUGGAACCUCCAGCAAAACCUGUCCCCGAGUGACCACUCAUGAAUCCGACAUGACCGGCAGCUGAUACAUGGCCUCCUUACAACUUCAAAGCCUGGGAACCAGGCGGGCAUCAAAGCCAAUAAAUUUGGACUGUACUCACGACGGCGGCCAAUGGCAACUCCUAGAGGUCAUGCCACUUGCAAGGAAGAAAUCACUGUCACACCCCACGGUCCACUGGGCUUGAGCAAACCCAUGUUCUUGCGAACAGAUGCAAAAUCCAGCAUUUUCUGCCUGCAAGAGAACUUGCACUUGGAGACUUGCAGCAUCAGCAAGAAUCUCUCCAGUUGUCUGAGCAUCAUCACCCAGAUGUUCUGGGUAUUAAGAGUCUCAAGCAAAAUACGUCGUCCAUAUUUUUUUGCAGCCCUGUGAGAUACUCAACACCACGAUGACCCAGAUCCAUGGGAAAGUGUAUACAAAGCAGAGCGGGAAGAGCCGAAAGCAGAGUUGUGUGUAUAUACCGA